GGGACCAAGUUUUUGUUUACUUCACUCUUGUGGCCUCACGGCCGCUUCUCAGUUUCCCUGAUGCAGCCCAGUUUACUGAAAUGGUUCAGGUGGUGCACAUGACAAGCAGAAUUUGGACUCUACCGGGUACCUCCCAGAACGGAUGGGAUUUAAAAUAUAUGCAUUGUCUAUUAUUCCACAUAAGAAAUGUCCUGGCAUCUGACCACUUUGGAGGAUUUGCAGAGUGAUGAUCUCCAUUGAGGAACGGCUGAUAAACUUCCAAUAUCAGCGUUCUCUGGAACAGAGCUUGGAAACCCCUGAUCUACACUACUACAGGAAUUUAUUCUUUACCUCUGUCCGCUUCACCCCUACACUUCUUCCUUUGCAUUUGCUAUGCUAAUAUAUUUUGCAAACUCCUUUGUCUUUCCCCCCACAAUUUUUACUGGUCAAAUAUUUGUUCUGUUCCCAAAUGUUUUCCCCUAAAACCUUAUGAAAUGCUGCAACUUUGCUUUCCCAACAUACAGAGGAGGAAGACAUUUCUACUCUGUGCCCAGAGCUCAGCAUUUUCCUCCAAUCCUUUACGGAAUGGGCAUUGCCUCUUAAAAUAAGUACAAAAUUAAAAGUAUACGUUUAUAUAACCUGCACUGAUCCGUUCCCGUUUAUUUUUCUUGGAAGAGUGCCUAAACAGAUGAUGAGAUCCAAAUUUAAUAAACUUGCAACUGCUCCCCUCGCCAGAUCCAGAUUUUAUCUCUCUGUUGGAAACCAAGCUUCAUUUUAAUUUGGAUGAAAAUAAAACUCAUAAUAAUGGUGCAUGCAUCUUGCUACA